rnacentral:RNase_P_RNA from 1 species
CGAGUAAAUCAAAUGGUCGCGUUAACCGCAGAGUUAACGAGGAAAGUCCGAGCUCUACAGGGCAGGGUGCUGGGUAACUCCCAGUGGAGGUGACUCUAAGGACAGUGCAACAGAAAGAUACCGCCUUCUAUGAAGGUAAGGUUGGAAUGGUGAGGUAAGAGCUCACCAGAGGCUAGGUGACUAGUCUGCUAUGUAAACCCCACCUAGAGCAAGACCAAGUAGGGACUAGAAAUGCGGCUGCCCGUCGUGUCCCGUGGUAGGUUGCUUGAACUUGCUGGCAACAGCAAGUCUAGAUAGAUGACCAUUUAAUACAGAACUCGGCUUACAGAUUUGCUCGCUCU